rnacentral:rRNA from 1 species
AGCUUAACAUUGUAAGUAAAUAAAAAUUAUGAAAGCAAAAAAUUAUGGCGGUAUUUUUAGCUUUUCAGAGGAAUUUGCUCUUUAAUGGAUAAAACGCCAAAAUCUUACUUAAAUUUGUUAGUUCAAUUUGUAUACCACUAUAAAAACAAUUUAUAACUUUAAUUGUUUAAAUUUAUUAAAUUAAAAUAUAUUAAGUCAAGGUGCAGUAAAAAUUUAAGAAUGAAGUGAAUUACAUUACUUUUUAGUGAAAAAAAAAUUAUAAUAACACUUAGGAUUUGAAAGUAAAUUUGAAAUAGGAUGUCAAUUUAAAUCAAGCUCUAAAAUAUGUACAUAUCGCCCGUCACU